CCCAUAAUAAAGUUAUUUUUAUUUGGAUGUCCUUUUCCAUGACUUUGUAAUAUUAAUUAUAGUCAUCAUCAGCCCUAAAUAAAUAGUAAACUUGAAGAGCAUAUGGAUGUUUCAAAAGUAAAAGCUAUAGUGUAUGAGUGACAAACUAUGAGGACAGCAUUAUAAUAAACAAUGCAGUCAGUGGCCUAUGCCAACCAUGACAGAGUUCAAUCCCUUGGGUCUAUCAGUCAAACCUCCUGAAGAGAAUUUAAGUCUGGAGAUGUCAUCAGGAUGUCCUGGUCCAUUUGGGCUGCUAUAACAGAAUACCAUAGAUUAGUUGGCUUAUAAAAAACAGAAAUGUAUUUCUCACUGCUUGGAAGACUGGGAAGUCCAAGACCAAGGUGCCAGUAGAUUUGAUGCCUGGUGAUGACCUGAAACUUUGUUCAUAAAUGGGUAUCUUUUGACUGUGUCCUCAUUUGGCAGAACUGGGCUAGCUAAGCUUCAAGGGUCUUUUCUAUAAGGGUACUAAUCUCAUUCAGGAGGGCUCUGUUCUCAUGACUACCUUCCAAAGGCCCUGCCUGCUAAUACUAUCACCUUGAGGACUAGGAUAUGAUCAUAUGCAUUUCGGGGGACACAAAUAUUCAGAACACAACAUGCAGUAAUUUAAAGAGAAGCAAAAUCCUGGCGUCAAGGUUACCUGGUGAAUUGUUUCCAAGUCCUACUAAAUCACAGCUGUAGGAUGGGAGUUCAACUUGGGCCUGGGUAAGCAUCAAACUAAUUGCAGAAACUUAGACUGGCACAAAUUUGGGGGUGCUCUUUGAAAAGUGAAUACUGUUAUCAGGUAAUUCACUUGCAUGGCAUGUUACAGGUUCUGAAAAACCAAUCAAUGAUCAGCUUAAUUUUGUUCAAUCUAGUAUUUGAUUAGUUUUUUUUUACAUGCUGCACCCAUGGCAAAUAUAAGUUCCCAGGCUAGGGGUCAAAUUGGAGCUGCAGUUACCAGCCUACACCACAACCACAGCAACACCAGAUCCAAGCCACAUCUGCAACCUACACCACAGUUCACCUCAAUGCUGGAUCCCUGACCCACUGAGUGGGCCAGAGAUUGAACCCACAUCCUCAGGGAUACUAAUCAGAUUAGUUUCAACUGUGCCACAACAGGAACUCCUGGUAAGAGCAUCUUUUUUUUCAAGAAAUACUAACAACUCACAUAAAUCAAUAUUCUAGGGCAUUUUAUUUAGCAAUUACUAUUUUUAGAAAUUUGGGGAUAAUUUGGUAACAUAUAUAAGAAAAUAUAAUCUUUGGAGUUCUGGCUAUGGCUCAGCAUUGCUGUGGCUGUGGCUGGCAGCUGAAGCUCCGAUUUGAGACCUAGCCUGUGAACCCCCCAUAUGCUGCAAGUGUGGCCCUAAAUUUUAUAUACACACACACACACACAAAAUCUUAAAAUGGACACAGGUCAACUUGAUCUUUCUCAAUAAUUUCUAGACACAUUUUUAUAUUGUUGUCCCUAAUGGUAAAAUGGAUAACCUGAACACUUUUAAUCUAAUGUGGUAUCUAAUUGGCUUAUUCUGCUAGGAGACACAGAUGAAAUAAUACUACUUUUAAAACUACAGGAGUUUCCUGAUGGCUCAAUGGGUUAAGGAUGCUGAUGCAGUUGACACUGCAGUGGCUGAGGUCGCUGCUGUGGUAGUUUGUUCCCUGGCCCAGGAACUUCUGAAUGCUGCAGGGCAUGGCCAAAAAAAAAGUAGAAAUGAAUACAAUUUAAAAAGUAAAAGAGUUUCCCUUGUGGCUCAGUGGAUUACGAACCUGACUAGUAUCCAUAAUGAUGUGGGUUUGAUUCCGGGCCUCGCUCAGUGGGUUAAAAGAUCUAGCAUUGCUGUAAGGUGCGGUGUAGGUUGCAGAUGCAGUUUGGAUCUGGCGUGGCUAUGGUAGAGGCCGGCAGCUGCAGCUCCAAUUUGACUCCUAGCCUGAGAACUUCCAAUAUGCUGCAAGUGCAGCCCUAAAAAGUGGGGGGGGGGGGGAGUUGAAAAAUUUUUCCUCUCCAAUUUCCCAUUAAAAUCAGAAGAUACUUGGAGUUCCCGUUAUGACUCAGGGGGUAAAGGAUCCCAUGUCAUCUAUAUCCCUGGCCUUGCUCAGUGGGUUAAGGACCCAGUGUUGAUGCAAGAUGCAGUGUAUGUCACAGAUGCAGCUCAGAUCUGGUGUUGCUGUGACUGCGGUGUUGGCUGCAGCUUCAGCUCCAAUUUGACCCCGUGGCCCGGGAACUUCUAUAUGCUGCAGGUGUGGCAGAUUAAAAAAAAGGGGGGGGGAUUACAAAAAAAAGAAGAUACUUUUAAUUUUGAAAAGCCUGCUACAAGUUCCUGUCAUGGCACAGUGGAAACAAACCCGACUAGGAACCAUAAGGUUGCAGGUUCGAUCCCUGACCUUGCUCAUGGGUUAAGGAUCUGGUGUUGCAAGGUGCAGCAUAGG
rnacentral:lncRNA from 1 species